rnacentral:miRNA from 1 species
UUUGUAUUACGUGCGGAAAUCGUUACCAUUUUCGGCUCAAAAAUGGUAACAAUUUCCGCACGUAAUGCAAA